AUGCUCGCUUCGGCAGCACAUAUACUAAAAUUGGAAUGAUACAGAGAAGAUUAGCAUGGCCCCUGCACAAGGAUGACACACAAAUUCGUGAAGAGUUUCAUAUUAAA
rnacentral:snRNA from 1 species